CGUGACUGGAGUUCAGAUGUGAAAUGCUAUCUUCACAUCCUACGUCAGUAGUAGACAAGGUAGUCCUGAGAUCAGAUAAAUAGUUUCAGUUUCACCUGUACAUGUCUGAGUGCUGUAUCGAUAACUGGCUGAUGUCCUACCAUCUGCAUAGGUUGCCUAAUGGGAUAUGUUAUGCUUGAGGGACAGAUAAGGCAUCGGCGGGCUGAGCCCAAAGAAAUGUCCUUUUAAUAGCAGUGGUUUACCUGAAGAAUAGAGUAGCUGGGCAUUUUCAGUUCAUCGUUCAGAACUUAAUAUUGUUGAAGGCAUCAGUUUAUAUUAGCAUCUGAACAUUUGUUUUGCUGGGAGUUUUUUAUCUUUGUA